AAAAUACAUAGGCUACAGGCUCAUAUGGAUUACUCAUUAAAAGAUCGCGAUCUCGAUUCAAACACACUCAAUCUUAUUGCUAUGUCGAUGAGACCAUGUCUAUUAAACUAUUGAAAUCACAAUCGCAUCGGAAUAUUUAAACCUGUUUUUGCGCAGCCGCUGAUCCAGAGAGAGCAAACAACAACAUCCUAAUUUCUGAUUGGCUGGUAGGUGGCAUUUAACUCUAUAACUCGAGAGAGCUAUGAACUCGACAGAAAACGUACCUCCGUAUUCCCUCAUCUGUUAAUUUAUUAGUAAUUGUAGCGGGACAAGUUAUCCCUUCUCAGCGUGAGAAAUACAAGGUGUGGCGUGAGAGCGUGUGAACUGCUUGAAAUGCGUGAGUCUCACUCCGAUUGCGUGAGACUUGAGAGCCCUGAAUAAGACCAGCAAGCAAGGCAACUGCAAUGAAGCAUCAAGAAAGACAUGAGCAGGCCAGCCACCCUGAGACUGAUAAUUCAUGAGAAGACAUUUCUGUCAAAGUGGAUGGUGAGCAAAGAUGGUGGCCACGUUUUGGAGCAGCACCUGGGUUUUGCAGAUGGCUAUUCUUUGGCUGCUUGUCUUUUUCCCCAUUAUGUUUCUGUUGCCUAAGGGGCCAUUCACAUAUCGCGUCUUUUGCGCGCUCAGGUUCGUUAUUUCAAAUGUAGACGCGCGGUAUGCGCGCUCAUAAUGGAAGCGACACGCACGCGGUGCGACACGCUCAUUUUUUCCAGGCGCGUCCGCGCCGCAUCGAGAUAAAACCAUAGACAUAAUAUACAUAUAUUAUAUUAUGUCUAUGGAUAAAACCGUCUCAACUUUUCAGAAUGACGCAAGCGCACCGCGGGUCAUGUGACAAGAACCAACCAAUCAGCUUCAUCCUUUCCCGUAACAACACUGAAAGCUCAGCCAAGAUGAAGGAACAGCUGAUCAUAGCUGUACAGGGAUAGCCAUUUUUAAAUAAACUUAGUAGCAGAGCUACUGCAAGCGAUUUUUAGUGCUGGAAAUCCAUUUAUCCUUUUCUGAAACUUCCGCGUCUUCAUGGAGAGUGCAGGUCAUGGUUGCUUAGCAACGGCAGACGCCUCCGAGUCCGAACGCUUUGGAAAAAAGCAGAAAGCAGCGCGCCUAGCGUUUUCCACGCGUUUUUAGGCGCGAUAUGUGAACGGCCCCUAAAGAUUCUUUGUGAGGAUGAAUCCAGAGGACACAACAUGAUGCACUGCAAAACGUCCUGAGACAGGAGAAAUGGUGAAGAUGCACUGU